CCCGACACCAAGAGCUGAUAAACUGCGGUUCCUUUCAGAUUCCAAACACUGACCCGGCGCAACAAGCAUGUGGCAGGGUGCCUGGUUCGUGGUGCUGCUUUUCAGCUGUGGAAGUGCGGCUCUUACCCUGAUCCAGCCCAAACAAUCGAUUACAGUAUCUGUCGAGAACACUGCGCUAAUUCGGUGUCAAGUGAACGGAGACACCAUCAGCGACAGCAAACCCCUUCACUGGUACCAACAGAAACCCGGCAAACCUCUCCAAAGGAUACUCUACUAUGGAGAUAGAGUAACGCGGGAUUCGGGAUUCGGGACAUCCUUCGACGUGAUAAAAAGUGCAAAUAACGAAGUCUAUCUCACAAUCGAAGUUGACGCUGACAGCGCUGCCACCUAUUACUGCGCCUACUGGUCCUACUGGGUUUACACAGUGUGUAAUAGAAAGCAAACUCAGCACAAAAAGCUCGACGAGCAGCCAGUCAACGGGAACCGCUGA